AUGCGCCUCCGCCGGGUCAGGUAGCGGUUGUAGUGAAAUUCCUUCUCCAGCUCCAGCGUCUGGUAGCGCGUGUAGGUCUGGCGGCCUCGCUUGCGGUCCGUUCCUGCGCACAAAAUAUGGAGGUCGGUGGGAAAUCAGUCAACCUUUUCAAAUCAAAUAUGUUGAAAACGCCAAGAGGGUAGCCACCUCCCUCUCAGACCUUGCAUGGGGGGAAAGAAAAAAAAGAGGGAGAAAAAAACUCAUUUUCCAACUAAAUCAAAUUCUUGCUCCCCAGCCCUUUACUCUUUAUUGGCAGAAUGUUCUGCAGGGGAUAGAGGCAAAUAUUGCCAUUGUCCUCGCAAGAAACCUUACCCUGCCUGGACUUCUGAAGCUGGGGAGAUCUAACCUGCCGGCUCCCACAGGCGCUGCUCCUAAGGCAUGGAGCUAUGGAGACUUCACCAGCGACCCUGACAUGAGGCUCAGGCCUGGUCUGAGUGUUUCCCAAGAAGCAAAGGAAACAAAGAGACCUCACAGGUCCUUGCACUCAACGCUGUUAUGGAAGCAGGAGGUGAAAAUCCGCAGAUUGCCCUGGAGUAUGGGGGAGUCAGUCGGGAAGCGGCUGCCCGGCGGGGAUUCCUCCCCAGUACAGGGCUGAGGUUCAACCAGGGACAGGCAGGCCCACCUGGCUACCCAGACACCUAGAGCUGCUAAGCCCUCCUUCCACCUCCAAGCAGCAAGAUGAUUGCAGCCAGGUAGGAGGAGAGCACAAGGAUCUGUGGAAGGCCCAAAGACAGACAGGAGCUUCCACACCUAGGCCCAAAACCCCAAGGAGGUGGCUUGGGGCAGGCACUGAGGUGCCACUGCCAGCCUCCUGGGAAGGAGCUGCAGCAAGAAGGGGCUGGGGCCCUAAUUCCAAGUCAGAUAAAAGCCAUGCUGAAGUGUUUAUGAGCAGAAAAAUUGGGGCUUUGAUAAAUCAACCGGAAAGGCAAUUGAAUUAUGAGGCAGGUAAUGGGGACUGUGACCACCAAUACCCAAGCUGUGAGAGCUGAGGUCCUCCUCAUCCCCAGUCCUGGCUGGUUUGGGUGCCUCUUGGGCCUUCUUCAAAGUCCCUCAGCCCCAGGGCAGCACAAGACAGGAUACAGCCUUGGGGCAGACCUCUCAGGGGUCUGGCCUCUGGGGUUCCCGCAGUAGCUGCUGGAUGGCCUGUGUUCUCAGGACUUGCACUGGCCCAUUGGAGACCCCUCCCCAAGAUGAGAUGCACCCCGCUGGAGGGACACUACCCCACUUGCUGGCCAGUUCUCCAGAGCUGCCUAAGCUUCUCAGGAGGGGUGCAGAGAAAAGCAGCUCGCUCCUUAGAGCCCCCGCCCCCUCCCUGGUUCUCCUGCCCCCCCAAGUUCACUGGGGGGUCAGGAGCUUCAUCUCUCUUGGCCUCAGCCUCCCUCCUUCCACCUGCCACUCUGGCCCUGGGUCCCAGGCUGGGUCCCAGUCUCCUCUCUCCCCUCCUCCCUCCAGGCCUCUGGAGCCCACCUCUAAUUGUCCUGGUGGGGACAAGGGGGAGCAGAGUUGGCUGGAGCAAAGGGGGAGGGGAGCACCGGGAGAACUGCUUACUUAGCACCCAGCCCCCUCCCCCAUAUCGCGUCUGAGCUGGGGGGGGGACACACCCAGGGCUGAGCUCCCGGGCGAGGAAGAGGGGGAGCGAGGGGGGAGACCCUAAUGGCUAUUCUCUGCAAACCCCAGCCUUCCUCUGCAAGACAAACGGCCUCGUCUCCAGCCCGUGCCGGCGCUGCUGAUAAAUAUUUAAAGCUAAAAGACCAGGAGGAAGGCUGCGGGGCGGGCGGGGGCGCUGAGUGCCGCAGCGCCUUCGGCGAAGACAGAUCCGCCCGGGAGCAGAGCCGGCCUGAGAGCACCGAGCAGACCUGGGGGUGGGGGCAGGGCCAGGCUGCGGCCGGGUAGGGGUGCAGCGGCCCCAGCCCAGACCUCCGGGGCCCAGAGCGCUCUGGACGCGCCAGGGGGCGCCCGGCCGAGGAAGCGAGGCCGGGAGCGGCGCUGCGGCCGGGGCGGCUCGGUGCGC